GGACUUGUCCUAAGGCAUAAAUAGAUAUCUAACUUUGUGGACUUGUCCACGUCUUUCAUAUUAUGAUUUUCAUGCAUAGCUUAAGCAUAAAUAUUACCAUGAAAUCCUACCACUUAAGCAUAGAAAAUAUCUUACUGUAAAACUUGAAGAAAUUUCGGUUGAAAGAUGAAUUGAGAGUGCUAGGCUUUGUUCCCUUUUCC
rnacentral:lncRNA from 1 species